UGGGGAAUUUUGGACAAUGGGCGAAAGCCUGAUCCAGCAAUGCCGCGUGUGUGAAGAAGGCCUUCGGGUUGUAAAGCACUUUUGUCCGGAAAGAAAUCCUUGGCUCUAAUACAGUCGGGGGAUGACGGUACCGGAAGAAUAAGCACCGGCUAACUACGUGCCAGCAGCCGCGGUAAUACGUAGGGUGCAAGCGUUAAUCGGAAUUACUGGGCGUAAAGCGUGCGCAGGCGGCUUGCUAAGACCGAUGUGAAAUCCCCGGGCUCAACCUGGGAACUGCAUUGGUGACUGGCAGGCUAGAGUAUGGCAGAGGGGGGUAGAAUUCCACGUGUAGCAGUGAAAUGCGUAGAGAUGUGGAGGAAUACCGAUGGCGAAGGCAGCCCCCUGGGCCAAUACUGACGCUCAUGCACGAAAGCGUGGGGAGCAAACAGGAUUAGAUACCCUGGUAGUCCACGCCCUAAACGAUGUCAACUAGUUGUUGGGGAUUCAUUUCCUUAGUAACGUAGCUAACGCGUGAAGUUGACCGCCUGGGGAGUACGGUCGCAAGAUUAAAACUCAAAUGAAUUGACGGGGUCAUAGCUGUUUCCU
rnacentral:rRNA from 1 species